rnacentral:rRNA from 1 species
GUGACCUGCGGAAGGAUCAUUACUGAGUGAGGGCCCCUCGGGGUCCAACCUCCCACCCGUGUUUAACGUACCUUGUUGCUUCGGCGGGCCCGCCUCACGGCCGCCGGGGGGCAUCCGCCCCCGGGCCCGCGCCCGCCGAAGCCACCUGUGAACGCUGUCUGAAGUAUGCAGUCUGAGACAAUUAUUAAAUUAAUUAAAACUUUCAACAACGGAUCUCUUGGUUCCGGCAUCGAUGAAGAACGCAGCGAAAUGCGAUAACUAAUGUGAAUUGCAGAAUUCAGUGAAUCAUCGAGUCUUUGAACGCACAUUGCGCCCUCUGGUAUUCCGGAGGGCAUGCCUGUCCGAGCGUCAUUGCUGCCCUCCAGCCCGGCUGGUGUGUUGGGCCCCGCCCCCCUUCCCGGGGGGGCGGGCCCGAAAGGCAGCGGCGGCACCGCGUCCGGUCCUCGAGCGUAUGGGGCUUUGUCACCCGCUCUUGCAGGCCCGGCCGGCGCCAGCCGACCCCCUCAAUCUAUUUUUUCAGGUUGACCUCGGAUCAGGUAGGGAUACCCGCUGAACUUAAGCAUAUCAAUAAGCGGAGGAAAAGAAACCAACCGGGAUUGCCCUAGUAACGGCGAGUGAAGCGGCAAGAGCUCAAAUUUGAAAGCUGGCUCCUUCGGGGUCCGCAUUGUAAUUUGCAGAGGAUGCUUCGGGAGCGGUCCCCAUCUAAGUGCCCUGGAACGGGCCGUCAUAGAGGGUGAGAAUCCCGUAUGGGAUGGGGUGCCCGCGCCCGUGUGAAGCUCCUUCGAC